GAUGAACGCUGGCGGCGUGCCUAAUACAUGCAAGUCGAGCGAACAGACGAGGAGCUUGCUCCUCUGACGUUAGCGGCGGACGGGUGAGUAACACGUGGAUAACCUACCUAUAAGACUGGGAUAACUUCGGGAAACCGGAGCUAAUACCGGAUAAUAUAUUGAACCGCAUGGUUCAAUAGUGAAAGACGGUUUUGCUGUCACUUCUCGAUGGAUCCGCGCCGUAUUGGCUAGUUGGUACGGUAACGGCUUACCAAGGCAACGAUGCGUAGCCGACCGGUGAGGGGGAUCGGCCACAUUGGAACUGAGCCACGGUCCAGACUCCUAAGGGAGGCAGCAGUAGGGAAUCUGACGCAAUGGGCGAAAGCUUGACGGAGCAACGCCGCGUGAGUGAUGAAGGUCUUCGGAUCGUAAAACUCUGUUAUUAGGGAAGAACAAAUGUGUAAGGAAAUAUGCACGUCUUGACGGUACCUAAUCAGAAAGCCACGGCUAACUACGUG
rnacentral:rRNA from 1 species